rnacentral:misc_RNA from 1 species
AUCAAAAGCCUGAAAAUCAAAGAGAUGGGUAGCCUCUUAUUCUUACAACGGAUGACCAGAAUUCUGAUAAUAUUUCAGGUUUCAAUUCUCUGGGUUUCAAUUGAUGUUCCACCUGCAGAGGCUAGAAUCCACAACUAUACGUGGGAGAUUUCAUACCAGUACAAGUUUCUUGACUGUUACAAGAAGCUAUCUAUUGCCAUUAAUGGAAUGACUCCAGGACCUGCAAUUGAUGCAGUGCAAGGUGAUACAAUUAUUGUCAAUGUUAUUAACAACUUGGUCAUGGAAAAUGUUGCCAUCCACUGGCAUGGGAUCCGCCAGAUUGGAACUCAAUGGAGUGAUGGAACAGAUGGAGUUACUCAAUGUGCUACAAUGCCUGGUGACACCUUCACCUACAAAUUUGUUGUCGACAGGGCUGGAACAUAUAUGUAUCAUUCGCAUUACGGAAUGCAAAGAGAAUCAGGGCUAUAUGGAAUAAUCCGUGUAUCACUUCCUAAUAGACAACCAGAGCC